rnacentral:rRNA from 1 species
GAUGAACGCUGGCGGCGUGCCUAAUACAUGCAAGUCGAGCGAACGGACGAGAAGCUUGCUUCUCUGAUGUUAGCGGCGGACGGGGGGGUAACAGUUGGAAAACUAACUUUAAAAAUGGGGAAAAUUCGGGAAAACGGGAGUUAAAACGGGAAAAUUUUUGGAACGCAAGGGUUCAAAAGGAAAAGAGGGCUUUGCGGUAACUAUAGGAUGGACCGCGCUGCAUUAGCUAGUUGGUAAGGUAACGGCUUACCAAGGCAACGAUGCAUAGCCGACCUGAGAGGGUGAUCGGCCACACUGGAACUGAGACACGGUCCAGACUCCUACGGGAGGCAGCAGUAGGGAAUCUUCCGCAAUGGGCGAAAGCCUGACGGAGCAACGCCGCGUGAGUGAUGAAGGUCUUCGGAUCGUAAAACCCUGUUAUUAGGGAAGAACAUAUGUGUAAGUAACUGUGCACAUCUUGACGGUACCUAAUCAGAAAGCCACGGCUAACUACGUG